rnacentral:rRNA from 1 species
ACUCCUACGGGAGGCAGCAGUGGGGAAUAUUGCACAAUGGGCGCAAGCCUGAUGCAGCCAUGCCGCGUGUAUGAAGAAGGCCUUCGGGUUGUAAAGUACUUUCAGCAGUGAGGAAGGCGGGUACGUUAAUAGCGUGCUUGUUUGACGUUAGCUGCAGAAGAAGCACCGGCUAACUCCGUGCCAGCAGCCGCGGUAAUACGGAGGGUGCGAGCGUUGAUCGGAAUUACUGGGCGUAAAGCGCAUGCAGGUGGUUUGUUAAGUCAGAUGUGAAAGCCCGGGGCUCAACCUCGGAAUUGCAUUUGAAACUGGCAGACUAGAGUACUGUAGAGGGGGGUAGAAUUUCAGGUGUAGCGGUGAAAUGCGUAGAGAUCUGAAGGAAUACCGGUGGCGAAGGCGGCCCCCUGGACAGAUACUGACACUCAGAUGCGAAAGCUGGGGAGCAAACAGGAUUAGAUACCCUGGUAGGAUAGCG